GGGCCGGUAGCUCAGUUGGGAGAGCGCCAGAAUCGCACUCUGGAGGUCGGGAGUUCGAAUCUCCUCCGGUCCA
rnacentral:tRNA from 2 species